rnacentral:rRNA from 1 species
GUGAGGAAUAUUGGUCAAUGGACGAGAGUCUGAACCAGCCAAGUCGCGUGAAGGAAGACGGUUCUAUGAAUUGUAAACUUCUUUUGUGCAGGAAUAAAGUGGGUUACGUGUAACCUUUUGUAUGUACUGUACGAAUAAGGAUCGGCUAACUCCGUGCCAGUAGCCGCGGUAAUACGGAGGAUCCGAGCGUUAUCCGGAUUUAUUGGGUUUAAAGGGUGCGUAGGUGGAUUGAUAAGUCAGCGGUGAAAGUUUGCAGCUUAACUGUAAAAUUGCCGUUGAAACUGUCGGUCUUGAGUGCAAAUGAGGUAGGCGGAAUGUGUUGUGUAGCGGUGAAAUGCUUAGAUAUAACACAGAACUCCGAUUGCGAAGGCAGCUUACUGGGAUGCAACUGACACUGAUGCACGAAAGCGUGGGUAUCAAACAGGAUUAGAUACCCUUGUAGUCC